CCUGUGUCAUUAAUUCGUUGACUGUUUUCAACUAACCAUAAAGAUAUUGGCACCUUAUACCUAUUAUUUGGUGCCUGAGCUGGGAUAAUCGGCACAGCCCUUAGUCUUUUAAUCCGAACAGAACUGAGUCAACCCGGAACCCUUCUUGGUGAUGACCAGGUCUACAAUGUUAUUGUUACAGCACAUGCUUUUGUUAUAAUUUUCUUCUUGGUAAUACCUGUAAUAAUUGGGGGUUUUGGGAAUUGAUUAAUCCCCUUAAUAAUUGGUGCUCCUGAUAUAGCAUUUCCGCGAAUAAAUAAUAUGAGCUUCUGAUUAUUACCCCCAUCUCUACUCUUACUUCUUUCGUCUUCAGGUAUUGAAGCAGGUGCUGGCACUGGCUGAACUGUCUACCCACCAUUAGCCGGGAAUCUGGCCCAUGCAGGAGCCUCAGUAGAUCUAACCAUUUUUUUCACUUCAUUUAGCUGGAGUUUCUUCUAUUCUAGGUGCAAGUAACUUUAUUACUACCUGCAUCAAUAUAAAACCUCCUAACAUAACACAAUAUCAAACCCCUUUAUUUGUUUGAUCUGUUUUAAUUACAGCAGUACUCCUCCUUCUUUCCCUUCCUGUUUUAGCUGCUGGCAUCACCAUACUAUUAACCGAUCGAAACUUAAAUACAUCCUUUUUUGACCCGGCUGGCGGGGGAGAUCCAAUUCUUUACCAACACUUAUUUUGAUUCUUUGGCCACCCAGAAGUAUAUAUUCUUAUUCUUCCAGGCUUUGGUAUAAUCUCCCACAUUGUCACAUAUUAUGCAGGCAAAAAAGAACCCUUUGGCUAUAUAGGAAUGGUGUGAGCAUUGGCUUCUUAGGUUUUAUUGUAUGAGCCCAUCAUAUAUUUACAGUAGGAAUAGAUGUUGAUACCCGAGCUUAUUUUACCUCAGCUACAAUAAUUAUUGCUAUUCCUACUGGAGUAAAAGUUUUUAGCUGACUUGCAACCCUUCAUGGCGGAACAAAUAAAUGAGAUGCCGCUAUAUUAUGAGCUUUAGGUUUUAUUUUUUUAUUUACAGUAGGGGGUCUUACAGGCAUUAUUCUAGCCAACUCCUCACUAGACAUUGUCCUUCAUGAUACUUACUACGUAGUUGCUCAUUUCCACUAUGUCUUAUCGAUAGGCGCUGUAUUUGCAAUUAUAGGUGGAUUUGUCCAUUGAUUUCCCCUCUUCACAGGCUAUACCCUACACUCUUCAUGAACAAAAAUUCAGUUUGGCGUAAUAUUUACCGGAGUUAACAUAACAUUUUUUCCAGAACAUUUCCUUGGACUAGCAGGUAUGCCCCGACGUUAUUCUGAUUAUCCAGACGCAUAUACCCUUUGAAAUACUAUUUCAUCAAUUGGCUCCCUAAUUUCCCUCACAGCCGUAAUUAUAAUAAUAUUUAUUAUUUGAGAAGCUCUAGCGGCCAAACGUGAAGUCUUUACUCUAGAAUUAAUAAAUACAAACUUAGAAUGACUUCACGGCUGUCCUCCUCCAUACCACACAUACGAAGAAUCAACUUACGUACAAACCUCAAGGGAGGGGGGACUUGAACCACCUCUAACCAGUUUCAAGCCAGUCACACAUCCUCUUAUGUUUCUCCCCUUAU